AUUGAACGCUGGCGGCAGGCCUAACACAUGCAAGUCGAGCGCGAAAGGCCUUCGGGCUGAGUAGAGCGGCGGACGGGUGAGUAACGCGUAGGAAUCUACCUGGUAGUGGGGACGAACAUGGUGAAACCAAUGCUAAUACCGCAUACGCCCUACUGGGGGAAAGGACGGGGACCGUUCGGCCGUCGCGCUAUCAGAUGAGCCUGCGUAGGAUUAGCUUGUUGGUGAGGUAAAGGCUCACCAAGGCGACGAUCCUUAGCUGGUCUGAGAGGAUGAUCAGCCACACUGGAACUGAGACACGGUCCAGACUCCUACGGGUGGCAG
rnacentral:rRNA from 1 species